rnacentral:rRNA from 1 species
UACGAGUGCCCUAAGCGUUAUCCGGAAUUACUGGGCGUAAAGCGCACGUAGGCGGCUUGGUAUGUCGGGUGUGAAAUCCCCGGGCUCAACCUGGGAACUGCAUCCGAAACUGCCUUGCUCGAGUAUGGGAGAGGGAAGUGGAAUUUCCGGUGUAGCGGUGAAAUGCGUAGAUAUCGGAAGGAACAUCAGUGGCGAAGGCGACUUCCUGGACCAAUACUGACGCUCAGGUGCGAAAGCGUGGGGAGCAAACAGG